CCUACGGGAGGCAGCAGUGGGGAAUUUUGGACAAUGGGGGCAACCCUGAUCCAGCAAUGCCGCGUGAGUGAAGAAGGCCUUCGGGUUGUAAAGCUCUUUUGUCAGGGAAGAAACGGUGUUUCCUAAUACGGAAUGCUAAUGACGGUACCUGAAGAAUAAGCACCGGCUAACUACGUGCCAGCAGCCGCGGUAAUACGUAGGGUGCAAGCGUUAAUCGGAAUUACUGGGCGUAAAGCGUGCGCAGGCGGUUUUAUAAGUCUGAUGUGAAAUCCCCGGGCUCAACCUGGGAACUGCAUUGGAGACUGUAAGGCUAGAGUGUGUCAGAGGGGGGUAGAAUUCCACGUGUAGCAGUGAAAUGCGUAGAUAUGUGGAGGAAUACCGAUGGCGAAGGCAGCCCCCUGGGAUAACACUGACGCUCAUGCACGAAAGCGUGGGGAGCAAACAGGAUUAGAUACCCUGGUAGUCCACGCCCUAAACGAUGUCCACUAGUUGUCGGGUCUUAAAUUGACUUGGUAACGCAGCUAACGCGUGAAGUAGACCGCCUGGGGAGUACGGUCGCAAGAUUAAAACUUAAAUGAAUUGACGGNUGAGCGNGCGAGACGACGACGAGGAGAGG
rnacentral:rRNA from 1 species